CCUACGGGGGGCAGCAGUGGGGGAUAUUGCACAAUGGGGGGAACCCUGAUGCAGCGACGCCGCGUGGGUGAAGGAGUGCUUCGGCAUGUAAAGCCCUAUCGGCAGGGAAGAAGCAAGACGGUACCUGACUAAGAUGCCCCGGCUAACGACGUGCCCGCAGCCGCGGUAAUACGUAGGGGGCGAGCGUUAUCCGGAUUCAAUGGGUGUAAAGGGAGCAUAGACGGCCAUGCAAGCCAGGGGUGAAAGCCCGGGGCCCAACCCCGGGACUGCCCUUGAAACUGUGCGGCUAGAGUGCGGGAGGGGCAGGCGGAAUUCCUGGUGUAGCGGUGAAAUGCGUAGAUAUCAGGAGGAACACCGGCGGCGAAGGCGGCCUGCUGGACCGCGACUGACGUUGAGGCUCGAAAGCGUGGGGAGCGAACAGGAUUAGAUACCCUGGUAGUC
rnacentral:rRNA from 1 species